GCACCCACCGCUUUGAGCAUCGGAGGCAGUGUUUUGCAUUUCGAUCCUCGUUCCAUUGGCAAAGGGUGGCUGACUCCGGCAGACAUGAGCCGAGUAGAGUGGAAAAGGCCAACGUGAUGGUGGAGGGAGACCUGAAAAGGCAUGCCAGAG